rnacentral:rRNA from 1 species
AUGUUUUGUCUGGUAGUGGUGAGUUGCAUGUCUCCCAUGAGGCCGCAACUGCAAGUGUCACCCCCGACUGCAACUACAUGUCCUCGACACAACUGCAACUAUGUGGUGUUUUUUCUGUCAAGGGCAAGUUGCAUGUCUCCCACUAGGACGCAAUUGCGAGUGUCGGCCUGGAUGCAAUUGCAUGUUUUCGACGCAACUGCAACUAUGUGGUAUUUUGUCCAGUCAGGGGUGAGUUGCAUGUCUCACACUAGAUCACAACUAGAAGUGUUGCCCCCGACUACAACUGCAUGUCUUCGACACAACUGCAACUAUGUGGUGUUUUGUCUGAUAACGGUGAGUUGCAUGUCUCCCACAAGGAUGCAACUGCAAGUGUCGCCCCCGGUUAGGGAUGAGUUGUAUGUCUCCCACUAG